rnacentral:lncRNA from 1 species
GUUUCAUCCUCACAAUAAUCCUAUAAGGUGGGCACUGCUCCUACCACCCCCCAUUUUCUGGAUGGAGAAACCGAGGACCAGAGAAAUUAACUCGCCCAAGUCACACUGCUGGCAAACCCUGGAGCAGGGCUAUGAAGCUGGACCCUUCUGACCGCUCUGGGGGUUCCAAAGGCUCCAGGGCUAAGCCCAAAAUUGGCCCAUCCACAGCAAUUAAAAGCUUCCUUCGCAGACCCUGGGGAUUUCUCUCUGAUCAAUCAGAAAACACCGCAGGUGGGAAACAGCCAAAGCCAAG